GCCGAUAUAGCACAAUGGUAGUGCGACUGCCUUGUAAGCAGUAGGUUGUUGGUUCAAGUCCGACUAUCGGCU
rnacentral:tRNA from 1 species